CUACGGGCUGCUGCAGUGGGGAAUAUUGGACAAUGGGGGCAACCCUGAUCCAGCGAUGCCGCAUGUGUGAAGAAGGCUUUCGAGUUGUAAAGCACUUUCAAAGAUAAGGAAGUAUCAAAGGUUAAGAGCUAUUGAUAUUGACCAGUUUUAGAAGAAGCACCGGCUAACUCCGUGUCAGCAGCCGCGGUAAUACGGGGGGUGCGAGCGUUAAUCGGACUGACUGGGCGUAAAGGGCGCGUAGGCGGAAGCUUAAGUUAAAUGUGAAAUAUAUGGGCUCAACCUGUAUGCAGCAUUUAAGACUGGGCGACUAGAGUACAGCAGAGGAUUUGGGAAUUCCCGGAGUAGCGGUGAAAUGUGUAGAUAUCGGGAGGAACACCAAUGGCGAAGGCAAGAAUCUGGGCUUGUACUGACGCUGAGGCGCGAAAGCAUGGGUAGCGAACAGGAUUAGAUACCCCCGUAGUC
rnacentral:rRNA from 1 species